rnacentral:rRNA from 1 species
AAAGGCCGGGUAAGUCGUCAGGGCUUUGGGUAACGAGAAAGAAUUGUAAUUUUACCAAAAUAAAGUUUUAAGUACGUAUUAAUAAUGAUAAUAUGUAUAAAAGUCUUGACCAAUUACGUGCCAGCAGUCGCGGUAAUACGUAGGAGACGAGCAUUAUUCAUAUUAAAUAGGUUUAAAGGGUACCCAAACGGUCAAAAUACCUUAAAUAAAGGAGUACUUGACUAGAGUUAUAUGUGAGAAGACCGUACUUGAGGUGGAGAGAUUAUAUUCUGUGAUACCAAAAGGACUGAUAAAGGCGAAGGCUGUCUUUUAUGUGUAACUGUGGUUGUAGGACGAGGGGGGACAGAACUAACAGGAUUUGACACCCCAGUGGUCUU